rnacentral:rRNA from 1 species
GACGAACUUUGGCGGCGUGCUUAACACAUGCAAGUCGAACGGAAAGGCCCUGCUUUUGUGGGGUGCUCGAGUGGCGAACGGGUGAGUAACACGUGAGUAACCUGCCCUUGACUUUGGGAUAACUUCAGGAAACUGGGGCUAAUACCGGAUAGGAGCUCCUGCUGCAUGGUGGGGGUUCCAACGUUUCGGCGGUUGGGGAUGGACUCGCGGCUUAUCAGCUUGUUGGUGGGGUAGUGGCUUACCAAGGCUUUGACGGGUAGCCGGCCUGAGAGGGUGACCGGCCACAUUGGGACUGAGAUACGGCCCAGACUCCUACGGGAGGCAGCAGUGGGGAAUAUUGCACAAUGGGCGGAAGCCUGAUGCAGCAACGCCGCGUGCGGGAUGACGGCCUUCGGGUUGUAAACCGCUUUCGCCUGUGACGAAGCGUGAGUGACGGUAAUGGGUAAAGAAGCACCGGCUAACUACGUGCCAGCAGCCGCGGUGAUACGUAGGGUGCGAGCGUUGUCCGGAUUUAUUGGGCGUAAAGGGCUCGUAGGUGGUUGAUCGCGUCGGAAGUGUAAUCUUGGGGCUUAACCCUGAGCGUGCUUUCGAUACGGGUUGACUUGAGGAAGGUAGGGGAGAAUGGAAUUCCUGGUGGAGCGGUGGAAUGCGCAGAUGUCAGGAGGAACACCAGUGGCGAAGGCGGUUCUCUGGGCCUUUCCUGACGCUGAGGAGCGAAAGCGUGGGGAGCGAACAGGCUUAGAUACCCUGGUAGUCCACGCUGUAAACGGUGGGUACUAGGUGUGGGGUCCAUUCCACGGGUUCCGUGCCGUAGCUAACGCUUUAAGUACCCCGCCUGGGGAGUACGGCCGCAAGGCUAAAACUCAAAGGAAUUGGCGGGGCCCCGCACAAGCGGCGGAGCAUGCGGAUUAAUUCGAUGCAACGCGUAGAACCUUACCUGGGUUUGACAUGGAUCGGGAGUGCUCAGAGAUGGGUGUGCCUCUUUUGGGGUCGGUUCACAGGUGGUGCAUGCCUGUCGUCAGCUCGUGUCGUGAGAUGUUGGGUUAAGUCCCGCAACGAGCGCAACCCUUGUUCACUGUUGCCAGCACGUUAUGGUGGGGACUCAGUGGAGACCGCCGGGGUCAACUCGGAGGAAGGUGGGGAUGACGUCAAGUCAUCAUGCCCCUUAUGUCCAGGGCUUCACGCAUGCUACAAUGGCUGGUACAGAGAGUGGCGAGCCUGUGAGGGUGAGCGAAUCUCGGAAAGCCGGUCUCAGUUCGGAUUGGGGUCUGCAACUCGACCUCAUGAAGUCGGAGUCGCUAGUAAUCGCAAAUCAGCAACGCUGCGGUGAAUACGUUCCCGGGGCU